rnacentral:snRNA from 1 species
GGAUAUGAGAGUGAUCUGGCUGUGACAUCUAUCACACUACUGAUCGCUAGGAUUGGUUGGUUUGACUGAUCUAACUGGCUAGGCAGUUGUCCCCUGCUUUCCUCACUACUCUGUGUGUGUGUGUCCUGAAGUGUUGUGCUGUGUUGAAGAAAACUUUUUGCAGUAGAGAAGGGUCAUUCUUCAGAGGUAUACAAGUAGAUGAGCUCUCCUGCUAGAAACUCCCAUCUCUGAAGGCCCAUUUGUAGGACAAGUUAGGAUAGGGUACCUUAAGACUCCAGACACAUACAAAUGAGGCACUGCAUGUGGCAAUCUGACUUUCUUU